rnacentral:rRNA from 1 species
CCUACGGGCGGCAGCAGUGGGGAAUUUUGCGCAAUGGGCGAAAGCCUGACGCAGCGACGCCGCGUGGAGGAUGAAGGCCUUCGGGUCGUAAAGCUCUGUCAGAGGGGAAGAAAUGCAGGUGGUGAACAACCAUUCUGUUUGACGGUACCCUCAAAGGAAGCACCGGCUAACUCCGUGCCAGCAGCCGCGGUAAUACGGAGGGUGCGAGCGUUGUUCGGAAUUAUUGGGCGUAAAGCGCGUGUAGGCGGUUUUUUAAGUCUGAUGUAAAAGCCCCGGGCUCAAUCUGGGAAGUGCAUUGGAUACUGGCAGACUUGAGUACGGGAGAGGAGAGUGGAAUUCCCAGUGUAGGAGUAAAAUCCGUAGAUAUGGGGAGGAACCCCGGUGGCGAGGGCGGCUCUCUGGACCGAUACUGACGCUGAGACGCGAAAGCGUGGGGAGCAAACAGGAUUAGAUACCCGUGUAGU